AGUGGCGGACGGGUGAGUAACGCGUGAGAAUCUGCCCUCAGGAGGGGGAUAACAGUUGGAAACGACUGCUAAUACCCCAUAUGCCGAGAGGUGAAACGAAUUUCGCCUGGGGAUGAGCUCGCGUCUGAUUAGCUUGUUGGUGGGGUAAUGGCUUACCAAGGCUUCGAUCAGUAGCUGGUCUGAGAGGACGAUCAGCCACACUGGGACUGAGACACGGCCCAGACUCCUACGGGAGGCAGCAGUGGGGAAUUUUCCGCAAUGGGCGCAAGCCUGACGGAGCAACGCCGCGUGAGGGAUGGAGGCCUUUGGGCUGUAAACCUCUUUUCUCAAGGAAGAAGAUCUGACGGUACUUGAGGAAUAAGCCACGGCUAAUUCCGUGCCAGCAGCCGCGGUAAUACGGGAGUGGCAAGCGUUAUCCGGAAUUAUUGGGCGUAAAGCGUCCGCAGGCGGCCGUUUAAGUCUGUUGUUAAAUCGUGGAGCUCAACUCCAUCACGGCAAUGGAAACUGUUCGGCUUGAGUAUGGUAGGGGCAGAGGGAAUUUCCGGUGUAGCGGUGAAAUGCGUAGAUAUCGGGAAGAACACCAGUGGCAAAAGCGCUCUGCUGGGCCAUUACUGACGCUCAUGGACGAAAGCCAGGGGAGCGAAAGGGAUUAGAUACCCCUGUAGUCCUGGCCGUAAACGAUGAACACUAGAUGUUGGGGGAAUCGACCCCCUCGGUGUCGUAGCUAACGCGUUAAGUGUUCCGCCUGGGGAGUACGCACGCAAGUGUGAAACUCAAAGGAAUUGACGGGGGCCCGCACAAGCGGUGGAGUAUGUGGUUUAAUUCGAUGCAACGCGAAGAACCUUACCAAGGCUUGACAUCCUGCGAAUCUCCAAGAAAUUGGAAAGUGCCUUUUGGAACGCAGUGACAGGUGGUGCAUGGCUGUCGUCAGCUCGUGUCGUGAGAUGUUGGGUUAAGUCCCGCAACGAGCGCAACCCACGUUUUUAGUUGCCAGCAUUCAGUUGGGCACUCUAGAAAGACUGCCGGUGACAAACCGGAGGAAGGUGUGGACGACGUCAAGUCAUCAUGCCCCUUACGCCUUGGGCUACACACGUACUACAAUGCUGCGGACAAAGAGUAGCGAUCUUGCGAAAGUUAGCUAAUCUCGUAAACUGUGGCUCAGUUCAGAUCGUAGGCUGCAACUCGCCUACGUGAAGGAGGAAUCGCUAGUAAUCGCAGGUCAGCAUACUG
rnacentral:rRNA from 1 species